rnacentral:rRNA from 1 species
UACGUAGGGUGCAAGCGUUAUCCGGAAUUAUUGGGCGUAAAGAGCUCGUAGGCGGUUUGUCGCGUCUGCUGUGAAAACUGGGGGGCUCAACCCCCCAGCCUGCAGUGGGUACGGGCAGACUAGAGUGCGGUAGGGGAGAUUGGAAUUCCUGGUGUAGCGGUGGAAUGCGCAGAUAUCAGGAGGAACACCGAUGGCGAAGGCGGGUCUCUGGGCCGAUAUUGACGCUGAGGAGCGAAAGCGUGGGGAGCAAACAGG